rnacentral:rRNA from 1 species
CCUACGGGAGGCAGCAGUGAGGAAUCUUGGUCAAUGGACGGAAGUCUGAACCAGCCAUGCCGCGUGCAGGAAGACGGCCCUAUGAGUUGUAAACUGCGUUUGUACGAGAAUAAUAGCUCUUACGUGAAGGGAUUUGAAUGUAUCGUACGAAUCAGGAUCGGCAAACUACGGUACAGCAGCCGCGGUAAUACGGAGGAUUCGAGGGUUAUCCGGAUUUAUUGGGUGUAAAGGGUGCGUAGGCUGUCGGAUAAGUUAGAGGUCAAAUGUCGGGGCUUAACCCCGGUCCUGCCUCGGAUACUGUUCGACUAGAGAGCGGAUGCAGCAGGCGGAAUGAGUAGUGUAGCGGUGAAAUGCUUAGAUAU